UGGGGGGAUAUUGCGCAAUGGGGGGAACCCUGACGCAGCAACGCCGCGUGAAGGAAGAAGGUUUUCGGAUCGUAAACUUCUUUAAGUUGGGAAGAUAAUGACGGUACCAACAGAAUAAGCCACGGCUAACUACGUGCCAGCAGCCGCGGUAAUACGUAGGUGGCAAGCGUUGUCCGGAUUUACUGGGUGUAAAGGGCGUGUAGGCGGGACUUUAGGUCAGAUGUGAAAUACCGAGGCUUAACUUCGGAGCUGCAUUUGAAACCAAAGUUCUUGAGUGCCGGAGAGGAAAGCGGAAUUCCUAGUGUAGCGGUGAAAUGCGUAGAUAUUAGGAGGAACACCAGUGGCGAAGGCGGCUUUCUGGACGGUAACUGACGCUGAGGCGCGAAAGCGUGGGGAGCAAACAGGAUUAGAU
rnacentral:rRNA from 1 species